GCCAUGUGAUGAUAUCAAGGCUGUUGUGAUUCAGUUGGUUCGGCUAAGUCCAGGGACCUCUGAUCUAUUCAGGUCUGUAAUCUUGGUGGUCGAUACAGAGUAAUGUACGUCCACUGUAAGGGCGGACCAACAAAAAUUUUCCUACUUUGGAGUCACCUCACUCGAGUAGGGUGAUUCUGCAGUUGCCAGGAGAAUUGUGGUAACUGGAAUGAAAGUAGGAACAGGCUGUAUUCAAGAUACAAGGGUCAGGGGUCCCUAAGGACUUAGCUGUGUCAUAGCCACUGAGAGAUGACACACAGAUCUUUGGUAAUCUGAUGGCU